UUUGUACGUAAGUAUGUGCAUAUCCACAUAGUCAUAUUUUGCGAUCUUAAGUGACCAGUUGGUGCAAGUUGCAAUUAUAUCAGUUUUAUAAUCAUUCUUGUUUGACGUAUAUUAAAUUAGUAACUAAACUAGAUUAGGUAUAUUCGUAGACUUAUAGUGGAUAAGACUUGAGAAAACGCAUGAGACAGACAACUAGUCGAUAAUAAGCAAAUACAUUAGAUUUUUUUUUUUUUUUUAACUGGCUUUCAUAUUGAAAUAAAGAAAAAAAAUACAGAGAUUACAAAGAAGAAACAAAAGAAAAAAAAAAAUACAACUUGAAACUAAAAGGAAAACAUGACAACACAAUCCGAAUAUAUUCAACCCGAGAUGGGGAUAACAGUGGCUCACAAGUAAGAAGCAAGUAAAAUAGGUACGACAUACAAUGGCAGCUUUUAGAUGGUUUGACUACACAGGCAAGUAGCGUUAGCAAACUCCGGGUCUUACAUCCUAUUCACCAACCAAUUGCUGUUAAUCCAAAGAGGAGCCGGAGCAUCCUGACUUGCUUCCAAACAAGUACUACCACUGACAAUUAAGCGCAGGGAAGGUGAGGAGCAACAAACCUGUACGCACGCAACACCAAACGCCGAAAGAACGGGAUGAAAAGGAGGCAGCUAGAUCAAAGAAACAACGGGACCUGCACUGAAAGGAAAAGAACCAAAUCUGCCGCGGUAAAUCAAAAGAACCACCACGGCACUGGGAUGAGAUAGCCCUAAUCAUGCCGCCACAGAGGUGAAAACCGAGCUCCAUGACCACGAACCCGUGAACGCCUCCCAUGAUACUUCUCUUAGAACAAGAGGGAGUUUCCUUUCUUGGUAAAAUGGAACAAAUGAGACAGAACAAAUGCCCAGGAAAUUGAAGAACCAAGCCCCGCAAACCCUGAAACCCGGAAUGAUCAGAACCGGGAUACGAGCUUUCCAAACACCAUCGCCAUGAACCGAAGAGGACGAAGACAGGAGAAGCUUGACCAGACAGCCGACGCCUGAGUACCAGACACCUCCACGCGCUUAAACCAUCCUUUAAGCUACACGCGCCGCCGGGAGAAAACCCUUGGCACCGCCAAGAAACUUCAAAACCGUCGCGCGUCGAGUGAGCAUAGCCCACAACGUCCUACUUGGGCAUGAACGGGAUUAGCUGUCGCCGAGACACCAAGGCAGAAAGCUAAAACUCCGGAUCACCACCCCUCACCGACACAGACCAAAAGAACCAGAUCUAUGCAGAUUGAGCCCACUCCAAGAUCACGCGCCUCCAGAACCGGUAGGGAAAUGUCUCACCAAACAGAUCUGAAAAUCGAGAGAAUCAAAACCCUAGCCACCCUAAAACGCCGACUCCGCUCUUAGUUGCGGCUCCACGAACCUCGCCGUCCAACCAAGUUCACCGGUGAAGACAGAUCCGGAGAAACGCCAUGGUCGUAUCCCAAAUCCAUCAUCAGACAACAAACUCAGUGCUUCAGCAUAUCGGCAAGGGAGAGGAGACUAAGACACGUAGCAAAGGUAAAAUAAGAGAGGGGGGAGGGGGAGCACCGACGCGGCGGCAAGCCGCACACGCCGGUGAAAGCAGAUUAUCAGUUUUGAGAGAUGAGAGAAGCGAGAGGAUUUAGGAGAGAGAAGCUCU
rnacentral:lncRNA from 1 species